AUUGAACGCUGGCGGCAUGCCUUACACAUGCAAGUCGAACGGUAACAGGUCUUCGGAUGCUGACGAGUGGCGAACGGGUGAGUAAUACAUCGGAACGUGCCUAGUAGUGGGGGAUAACUACUCGAAAGAGUGGCUAAUACCGCAUGAGAUCUACGGAUGAAAGCAGGGGAUCGCAAGACCUUGUGCUACUAGAGCGGCCGAUGGCAGAUUAGGUAGUUGGUGGGAUAAAAGCUUACCAAGCCGACGAUCUGUAGCUGGUCUGAGAGGACGAUCAGCCACACUGGGACUGAGACACGGCCCAGACUCCUACGGGAGGCAGCAGUGGGGAAUUUUGGAUAAUGGGCGCAAGCCUGAUCCAGCAAUGCCGCGUGCAGGAUGAGGGCCUUCGGGUUGUAAACUGCUUUUGUACGGAACGAAAAGCCCCGGGUUAAUACCCUGGGGUCAUGACGGUACCGUAAGAAUAAGCACCGGCUAACUACGUGCCAGCCGCCGCAGUAA
rnacentral:rRNA from 1 species